rnacentral:rRNA from 1 species
AGAGUUUGAUCCUGGCUCAGGAUGAACGCUAGCUACAGGCUUAACACAUGCAAGUCGAGGGGAAACGACAUCGAAAGCUUGCUUUUGAUGGGCGUCGACCGGCGCACGGGUGAGUAACGCGUAUCCAACCUGCCCACCACUUGGGGAUAACCUUGCGAAAGUAAGACUAAUACCCAAUGAUAUCUCUAGAAGACAUCUGAAAGAGAUUAAAGAUUUAUCGGUGAUGGAUGGGGAUGCGUCUGAUUAGCUUGUUGGCGGGGUAACGGCCCACCAAGGCAACGAUCAGUAGGGGUUCUGAGAGGAAGGUCCCCCACAUUGGAACUGAGACACGGUCCAAACUCCUACGGGAGGCAGCAGUGAGGAAUAUUGGUCAAUGGGCGAGAGCCUGAACCAGCCAAGUAGCGUGCAGGAAGACGGCCCUAUGGGUUGUAAACUGCUUUUAUAAGGGAAUAAAGUGAGUCUUGUGAGACUUUUUGCAUGUACCUUAUGAAUAAGGACCGGCUAACUCCGUGCCAGCAGCCGCGGUAAUACGGAGGAUCCGAGCGUUAUCCGGAUUUAUUGGGUUUAAAGGGAGCGUAGGCGGGCUUUUAAGUCAGUUGUGAAAGUUUGCGGCUCAACCGUAAAAUUGCAGUUGAUACUGGAAGCCUUGAGUACAGUAGAGGCAGGCGGAAUUCGUGGUGUAGCGGUGAAAUGCUUAGAUAUCACGAAGAACUCCGAUUGCGAAGGCAGCUUGCUGGACUGUAACUGACGCUGAUGCUCGAAAGUGUGGGUAUCAAACAGGAUUAGAUACCCUGGUAGUCCACACAGUAAACGAUGGACACUCGCUGUUGGCGAUAUACGGUCAGCGGCUUAGCGAAAGCGUUAAGUGUCCCACCUGGGGAGUACGCCGGCAACGGUGAAACUCAAAGGAAUUGACGGGGGCCCGCACAAGCGGAGGAACAUGUGGUUUAAUUCGAUGAUACGCGAGGAACCUUACCCGGGCUUGAACUGCAGCGGAAUUAUCCGGAAACGGAUAAGCGAGUAAUCGCCGCUGUGGAGGUGCUGCAUGGUUGUCGUCAGCUCGUGCCGUGAGGUGUCGGCUUAAGUGCCAUAACGAGCGCAACCCUUAUAUCCAGUUACCAUCAGGUUAUGCUGGGGACUCUGGAUAGACUGCCGUCGUAAGAUGUGAGGAAGGAGGGGAUGACGUCAAAUCAGCACGGCCCUUACGUCCGGGGCUACACACGUGUUACAAUGGGGGGUACAGCAGGCCGCUACCUGGCGACAGGAUGCCAAUCUCCAAAACCCCUCUCAGUUCGGACUGGAGUCUGCAACCCGACUCCACGAAGCUGGAAUCGCUAGUAAUCGCGGAUCAGCACGCCGCGGUGAAUACGUUCCCGGGCCUUGCACACACCGCCCGUCA